GUUAAUGAACUAUAGUGAAAAGGAAGUUUCAUAUAAAUUUCAAUGUUGCUAUCUCGAAUCUCUUGCACUUUUUUCCAGAUUUAGCAGGGCUUGCACACCAUUUUGUCUUUGGUAGCGCUUGCCUGGUAAGUGUUUAUUUGUUAAAAGUUCAGAAAAUGGUAUUUUUAUCAUACUAGGCAUGUUGAAAGAUUGUCUUGGGUGGUUUCGUAUUUUUAAUUUCACGUAGCACCACCUUAUCAUACGAAGCUUCUGGAAUUUAAUUCUUCUUGGUUAUGCUUGGUGAUCUUUCUCUGGUCAUGGACCAAGGAUUUUUGUUUCAGCCCCUGAAAAUUAAAAGGAUGGUAGAGAAUGAAGCCAUUUUACAUCGGGAUUUAUAUAGUGCAAUAUUUUUAGAUUGUUUAUGAUGCUCUGGAUAUUUGUUGUACUUACGCAGUUCCUAAUCUGCUAUUGAUGUUUGAUAUCGUGCAAUUUCAGGUACAUCAUCUUGGACGCAAUCAACGAGCAAUAUCUGUUAUCAUGGACACACAUUUGCUAAUAUUGAAGAAGAUCUUCAAUAAUGGUUAUAGCCCGGAAAAUAUUUAAGGAUUGAGAUUUAUGUCCAAUUUGAUGGGAAGGUGCUACCACGGACAUCUUAUCUUAGG